rnacentral:rRNA from 1 species
AGCAGCCGCGGUAAUUCCAGCUCCAAUAGCGUAUAUUAAAGUUGUUGCAGUUAAAAAGCUCGUAGUUGAAUUUCGGGGUCAGUACGUUGGUCGUGCCUUCGGUAUGUACUGGUGUCACUGAUUCCUCCCUUCUGAUGAACCGUUAUGCCAUUUAUUUGGUGUGGCGGGGAAUCAGGACUGUUACUUUGAAAAAAUUAGAGUGUUUAAAGCAGGCUCGCGCUUGAAUACAUUAGCAUGGAAUAAUGAAAUAGGACGUUUUGAUUCUAUUUUGUUGGUUUCUAGGAUCGACGUAAUGAUUAAUAGGGAUAGUUGGGGGCAUUAGUAUUCAAUUGUCAGAGGUGAAAUUCUUGGAUUUAUUGAAGACUAACUACUGCGAAAGCAUUUGCCAAGGAUGUUUUCAUUAAUCAAGAACGAAAGUUAGGGGAUCGAAGACGAUCAGAUACCGUCGUAGUCUUAACCAUAAACUAUGCCGACUAGGGAUCGGAUGAUGUAAUUUUUAAUGACUCAUUCGGCGCCUUAA